AGAGUUUGAUCAUGGCUCAGAUUGAACGCUGGCGGUAUGCUUAACACAUGCAAGUCGAACGGUAACAGGACUAGCUUGCUAGUCGCUGACGAGUGGCGGACGGGUGAGUAACGCGUAGGGAUCUACCUAGCAAUGGGGGAUAGCCCGGUGAAAACCGGAUUAAUACCGCAUACGUCCUAUGGGAGAAAGGGUGCCUCUUCUUGAAAGCACUCGUUGUUAGAUGAACCUGCGUCGGAUUAGCUAGUUGGUGGGGUAAUGGCUCACCAAGGCGACGAUCCGUAGCUGGUCUGAGAGGAUGACCAGCCACACUGGGACUGAGACACGGCCCAGACUCCUACCGGGAGGCAGCAGUGGGGAAUAUUGCGC
rnacentral:rRNA from 1 species